GGACGGGUGAGUAACGCGUGAGAAUCUGCCUUCAGGAUGGGGAUAACAGUUUGAAAUCGCUGCUAAGACCCAAUGUGCCCUUGGGUGAAAGUAUUUAUAGCCUGAAGAGGAGCUCGCGUCCGAUUAGUUAGUUGGUGGGGUAAGAGCCUACCAAGGCAGCGAUCGGUAGCUGGUCUGAGAGGAUGAGCAGCCACACUGGGACUGAGACACGGCCCAGACUCCUACGGGAGGCAGCAGUGGGGAAUUUUCCGCAAUGGGCGAAAGCCUGACGGAGCAAUACCGCGUGAGGGAGGAAGGCUUUUGGGUUGUAAACCUCUUUUGUUAAGGAAGAAUCAAGUGACGGUACUUAACGAAUCAGCAUCGGCUAACUCCGUGCCAGCAGCCGCGGUAAUACGGAGGAUGCAAGCGUUAUCCGGAAUCAUUGGGCGUAAAGCGUCCGCAGGUGGUUCAUCAAGUCUGCUGUUAAAGACAGAAGCUCAACUUCUGAAAGGCAGUGGAAACUGGAGAACUAGAGUACGGUAGGGGUCGAGGGAAUUCCCAGUGUAGCGGUGAAAUGCGUAGAGAUUGGGAAGAACACCAGUGGCGAAGCGCUCGACUGGGCCGUAACUGACACUCAGGGACGAAGCUAGGGUAGCGAAGGGAUAGAUACCCUGUAGUCUUAGCGGUAAACGAUGAACACUAGGCGUUGCUUGUAUCGACCCGAGCAGUGCCGUAAGCCAACGCGUUAAGUGUUCCGCCUGGGGGAGACGCACGCAG
rnacentral:rRNA from 1 species